UACGGGGGGGGCAAGCGUUGUUCGGAAUUACUGGGCGUAAAGGGCUCGUAGGCGGCCAACUAAGUCGGAUGUGAAAUCCCCAGGCUCAACCUGGGAACUGCAUCCGAUACUGGAUGGCUUGAAUUCGGGAGAGGGAUGCAGAAUUCCAGGUGUAGCGGUGAAAUGCGUAGAUAUCAGGAGGAACACCGAUGGCGAAGGCAGGUCUCUGGGCCACUACUGACGCUGAGAAGCGAAAGCAUGGGGAGCGAACAGG
rnacentral:rRNA from 1 species